UCAGCUUUACUUAAGUGAAAAGUAGCUGCUAAUGUUUGAAUUUGAUGUUGUUGUUGAGAAUUGGUAUCAAGAGGAAAUUGAGUUUCUGGUGGAAUUAAUGGAACUGUUGCUGUUUGUUGUGGAAAAUACUUCAAUCUAAUCUUACAAAAACAUGGUGAACUUGAUGGAUGUACAACUGAACGUGCUGGUUUUGAUGCUACUGGAAUUUUUAAAGCUAAGUUUCCAAUUAGAAUUCGAACAAACGGACAUGGAUCCAUUAUUCUUAGGGUUUUGAGGUUUGAAGAACUUUGAACAAGCUACCUAGCUAGCUUUCUUCUUUCCUUCGAUCUUGGAGAAGAUAAAAGAAAGAAGUAGUAGUUAAGAAGAAGAAGAAGAAGAAGAAAUAGAAAGAAGAUGAGUUGUUAUUGUUGUUGUUGUUGUUGUGAUUGUUGCUAACGUGAACCAGGCUGGAGAAAGAGAAGAAUAAUCCAUAGGAAAGCGUGCUGUGAAGGAAGAAGAGUUGGAGAAAGCUUUGAGCUUAUGCUGAGCUGGUGCGGGUUUCGGGUCUGA
rnacentral:lncRNA from 1 species